GUUAUUAUUAUUUUAAUAAUAAUAAUAAUUUAUUAUGGGCUACAUAUAUAAAUAUAUCAAUUAUAUUUAGCUAUUUAUUUUAUUGGGUUAAAUUAAGUGAUCAAAUAAGAAACCCAAUUAGAUUUUAAUUAUUGUGUGGGUCAAAUGAGUGGAUACCCAAUACUAAGGCCUAUUUAAUUAUAAUGGGAGAUUAAAUUGAGCGUUAGAAUACAGAAGGUUAUAGUCCCCAAUAUAUCAAGCAACACAUACAGUCUUUCUUUACCCAUCAGAGAGGACUACUCAAGAAAACCUAAGGAGUGCUUGGUUGAGGAAGACAAUAACGCUGCUUCAAAAGCAAGAUUACUUAAGGUUAUACCACUAUCAUCACUAAUGGAUACAGGUAUGCUUCCGCUUACAGUUUAUAUCUCGAUAGUUGAAUAUGAUGUUUACGGUCCUUGUCUCUAUUAUAGAGAAUUUGUGCUUAUAGAGUUAUAAUUCUCUAACAAUUGGUAUCAGAGCCACUUCAUAUUUUGAUUAUCGGGAAUUAUGGUUCUUAAUUGUUUUAAGAUUUUGACAUGUUUGUCUUGUGCUUCCUUUUUUUUUGAUUUUUCGGCACUUUCGACUUUAUAUUAUGGUUCUGUGUUCCCUUCUGUUCACGCACGCAAGUUGUCAUUUUUUCCUCUCUCAGGCUAUGAUAAUUUAGAUAUAUAGUUGUCGAUUGCCUUUCAUGUUGAAUGAAUGUGAUCAUGCUAUUUCCUGUGAUACUGUUAUUAUUGUCCAAACCUUCUUUUAUGUUAAGUCAGUAACUUGUCCUGCUUUUGUGAUUAAAAUAUUAAGGUUAUAUUUUUAAUGUGGUGUGUACUAACUCAGGGUCUUGACAUUAUGUUAAUUCAAGUCGUGUAUGUACCAUGUCAUAUAUAUGUUUUAUUAUUUCCUGGUAUGAUAAUGUUGUCAAGUGCAGGAGAUUAUUUAAAAUUUAGGUGGACAAUUUAGAUGCAUAAGGAACUAGUCUGUGGUCAUGUAUUUAAGUAGAAUGGCACACACUUGGUGAACUCCUUUAAAUAAAUUAUAUAUUUGUGAGUUUGUUUCUAUUUUUUUAUUAUUGGCAUUUUUGUUUUAACCUAUUCAUUUAGGUGGUCGGAUAUUUUUUAAGUUAAUUAAUUGAAGCAAUAUGUUGCCAAAGUAACCUCUUUUGUCUAGAUUAAUUAAUAUAAAAAAUAUUAUUAUGAUGAUUGAAUGUUUAAUUUUAUGCGAAUUUUGUCGGCCCAAAGGAAGAUAAAUAUUUGGCCAAAAUUAAAAUAUUCUUGUGAUAGUAAGUAUGUAGCAAUAUAAAGUUUUUUUUUUCAUGUGAAUAAUAAGUCGGUCCAAAGAAAGGCAUAUUAUUUGACAGAAAUUAAUUGUUAAUACUUGAUUAUUGCGUGGAGAGUACCAAUUACAAAUUAAAUUUUCUGUCCAAAGACUAAAAUUUAUUGUUGCGCUAGGUAUCUUGUGAUGGUGUUGCCAAUAAUAAAAUUUAUUAUUUUUUUUAUAUAUAUUAGUGUUGAGCAUUUUCUGUAAAUUUGUUUUCUAUUGCAGUUAUGGCUAUAGUUAAUUCUGCUUCUGCUCAAUUGAGCAUGAUUCCAAUGUUGAAUGGGACAAACUAUGUCACGUGGAAAGAGACUGUUGAGAUUGUUCUUGGGUGCAUGGAUCUUGACCUUGCGCUAAGGAAAGAGCAACCAGUUCCCACUACGGAUGAUCCGAAAACGGAUCAAAUUGAUAAGUGGGAACGCUCUAAUCGCAUGUGUCUGGCGAUCAUGAAGCGAACAAUCCCAACUGGCUUUCGGGGCUCUAUUGCUGAGAGCACAAGUGCCAAGAAGUUCCUCUCUGAAAUUGAGCAAUAUUUUGCUAAGAAUGAGAAAGCGGAAACGAGUAAUCUUCUGUCAAAACUCGUGACCAUGAAGUAUAAAGGAAAGGGGAACAUAAGGGAGUACAUCAUUGGGAUGUCUAAUCUUGCAGGCAAACUUAAGGAACUCAAGUUAGAACUUUCGGAUGAGUUGCUUGUUCACUUGGUUCUGAUUUCUCUCCCUCCUCAGUUUGGACACUUUGUGGUGAGUUACAAUACUCAAAAGGAAAAGUGGACUCUUAAUGAGCUCAUUUCACACUGUGUGCAAGAGGAGGAGAGGGUUUUGCGAGAGAAGACUGAAAGUGCUCACUUGGCAUCGAGCUCUCAUGAUAAGAAAAGAAAGAGAGGUAAGGAUUCUGCAAGUGGAAAACCCAAGCAACCUUCUCAAGAGAAGCAGGAUAAGGGACCAACCUGUUACUUUUGUAAGAAGGCUGGACANNNNNNNNNNNNNNNNNNNNNNNNNNNNNNNNNNNNNCGUGUGAAGAAGGGUAUGACUUUUGUCUUUGUUUGUUCUGAAGUUAAUUUAGCUUCUGUACCUAAAGAUACUUGGUGGGUAGAUUCUGGUGCUACUACUCAUAUAAGUGUAUCAAUGCAGGGUUGCCUGUGGAGCCGACCGCCAACUGAUGCUGAAAGAUACAUCUAUGUGGGUGACGGCAAUAAAGUUUCAGUUGAAGCAGUUGGAACAUUUAGAUUGUUAUUAAAAACUGGUGUUUAUUUGGAUUUAUUUGAGACUUUUGUUGCACCGUCUUUUAGACGGAAUCUUAUUUCUAUUUCCUGUUUGGACAAAUAUGGCUACACUUGUUCCUUUGGAAAUAAUAAAGUUUGUUUCUCAUUAAAUUCAAAUGUGGUUGCUACUGGUUCUUUAAUUGAUAAUCUUUAUAUGCUUGAGACUGUUACUUUUAAUAAUGAAAUUUUGCACUCAAGUGCAAGAGGUACAAAGCGUAAGAUAACUGAGAAUUCUGCCAUGUUGUGGCACAAGCGCUUAGGACACAUCUCUAAACAGAGAAUUCAGAGGCUUGUGAAUGAUAGAAUUCUUGAUCCCUUAGAUUUAAGUGAUUUUCAGGUUUGCAUAGAAUGCAUUAAGGGAAAACAAACAAACUCAAGAAAGUUAGGUGCCAACAGAGCUACUAGUGUCUUAGAACUGAUUCAUACCGAUAUAUGUGGACCAUUCCCUACGGCCUCUUGGAACGGUCAACGGUAUUUUAUCACGUUCAUAGACGAUUACUCAAGAUAUGGUUACCUAUACUUAAUACAUGAGAAGUCACAAGCUUUGGACGUGUUUAAGGUCUUCAAAGCUGAAGUUGAGAAACAGCGUGGUAAGCCAAUUAAAGCUGUCAGGUCUGAUCGUGGUGGUGAGUACUACGGUAGAUAUGAUGGAUCAGGUGAACAACGUCCAGGGCCCUUUGCUAACUUCCUAAAAGAGUGUGGGAUUGUCCCUCAGUACACUAUGCCAGGCAAACCUAAUAUGAAUGGUGUUGCUGAGAGGCGAAACCGUACUCUUAAAGAUAUGGUGAGAAGUAUGAUAAGUCAUUCUUCUUUACCUGAAUCACUUUGGGGAGAUGCACUAAUGACUGCAAUUUAUAUCCUUAAUAGAGUUCCAACAAAGGCAGUGGCCGAAACCCCUUACAAACUUUGGACUGAUAAAACUCCAAGUAUUAGGCAUUUACAUGUUUGGGGUUGUCCAGCUGAGGCAAGGCCAUAUAGACCAAAUGAAAAGAAACUGGACUCAAGGACGGUCAGUUGCUAUUUUGUUGGAUAUCCGGAGCGUACUCGCGGAUUUAAAUUUUAUGAUCCCGCUACUAGAUCCUUCUUCGAGACUGAUAAUGCAAGAUUUUUUGAGGAUGUUGAUUUUGGGAGGGAAGAUAUAGGUAGAAGUGUUGUCUUUGAAGAAGAUAGUCAUGAUCUUAUUCAUGACACGGCCGAGAGCAAUGAUCAGAUUAUGGUACCUAUCAUUGUUCAAGGCCCUCCGGUUCAAGACAACACUGACAUUCCCCAUGAGGAACCAACUGAUCAAACUCAACAACCUCAUGAAUCACAAGAAGUGCCACUAAGGAGAUCCACUAGAGAGCGAAAGAGCGCAAUUCCAGAUGAUUAUGUUGUUUUUCUACAAGAACAUGAAGAUGGAAUUGGCAUUGGAGAAGAUGAUCCUGUAAAUCUUCAACAGGCCAUGCAGAGUCCUCAUGCAAUCUAUGAAAGACAAUGAUGUUUGGGAUCUUGUCGAGUUGCCUAAAGGAUCAAAGCCUGUUGGUUGUAAAUGGGUUUUUAAAACCAAAAGGGAUUCAAAAGGUAACAUCGAAAGAUAUAAGGCUCGUCUAGUCGCAAAAGGAUUCACUCAAAAGAAAGGUAUCGACUAUAAUGAGACUUUCUCUCCAGUUUCCACGAAAGACUCAUUUAGAAUUUUUAUGGCGCUUGUGGCUCAUUAUGACCUAGAGCUACAUCAGAUGGACGUAAAGACAGCGUUUCUCAAUGGUAACAUUGGAGAGACAAUUUAUAUGGUGCAACCAGAAAAUUUUGUCAUUGGAGAUCCAAAGACAAUGGUUUGCAGAUUAAAGAAGUCCAUCUAUGGUCUCAGACAGGCCUCUCGUGAAUGGUAUCACAAAUUUCAUCAUGUUAUCACAUCAUAUGGUUUUGAAGUGAACUUGGUGGAACAUUGUGUAUAUCACAAGUUCAGUGGGAGCAAAUUUAUCUUUCUUCUGUUAUACGUUGAUGACAUCUUACUUGCCACUAAUGAUAUAGGCUUAUUGCACGAUACCAAGAAAUUUCUCACUAGAGGAUCUUGGUAACGCCUCUUUUGUAUUAGGAAUUCAGAUACAUCGAGAUCGUUCUCGAGGUAUUCUUGGAUUGUCGCAAAAGAGCUAUAUCGAAAAGAUCCUGGAAAGGUAUGGCAUGAAAGAUUGUGCACCAAUGGAUACACCCGUGUCUAAAGGAGACAAAUUCAGUCUCAAACAAUGUCCCAAGAAUGAACUUGAGAUAAAGGAAAUGCAGAAGAUACCAUAUGCCUCGGCAGUGGGAAGUCUGAUGUAUGCUCAAGUUUGUACUCGUCCUGACAUAGCAUUCAUUGUUGGAAUGUUGGGAAGAUAUUUGAGCAAUCCGGGGAUGGAACAAUGGAAAGCAGUAAAACGAGUCCUACGGUAUUUGAAGAAAACAAAAGACUAUAUGCUCACAUAUGGGAAAUCAGAUCAUCUUGAAAUCAUUGGAUAUUCGGAUUCUGACUUUGGAGGAUGCAAAGAUGAAAGAAAAUCUACUUCAGGCUAUGUUUAUCUAUUAGCUGGUGGAGCGAUUUCAUGGAAGUCUGCUAAACAGACGCUCAUAGCUUCAUCCACCAUGGCUGCGGAGUAUAUAGCAUGCUUUGUGGCAUCCAAUCAAGCAUUAUGGCUGCGAAAUUUUGUCACUGGUUUGCGUAUUCUUGAUGGUGUUGAAAGACCAUUAAAGAUAUUCUGUGAUAAUAAAUCAGCAGUGGAGUAUUCUAAUAACAAUAGGAGCACUACUGAAGCAAAACAUAUAGAUAUCAAGUUCCUAGUUGUUAAAGAAAAGAUACAGAGUGGACAAAUUUCAAUAGGACACAUUGGGACUAACUCCAUGAUUGCGGAUCCGCUCACCAAGGCGUUAGCACCUAAGGUUUUUCACGAGCAUAUUACUCAUAUGGGUGUUACCUCUUGUGAUACUUUGGUUUAGUGGGAGUUUGUAUUUUGGUGUUUUACGUAAUAAACAUUGAGUUGUUUAUGUUCUGCAGAAUACAGUUGAUGGAAUUUUAGUUCAUUAAUUGUCACUCUACAUUUGUUCAAUUUUCUUAUUGUGGUUUAAGCAUUGAGUUCAGAAAAAUUUAUAUCAAUCUCAUUAGAGAUUGACUAAGGACUAGUUGGAAAUAGGCAUUAUAUAGAUCACAUUGUAUGUAAUUUCCAUGUCACUUAUCCAUACUUUGAUUCAUGUCGUUGAAUAUAUUUGUGUGGUGACCACGGAAGGUUUAGUCGCGUAAAGUUUGUGACGAAUACCGCCAGAAUCUCAUACCUAUAUAGUAGAUGGACCGAAUUGUUUUAGUAAAAUCUAAGGACAAUGAAUAGCAUAAGGUUGCGCACUAAAGAUAUGUAUAAUUGAUUUUGGAUUUAAUAUGAAGCCCAAGUGGGAGAUUGUUAUUAUUAUUUUAAUAAUAAUAAUAAUUUAUUAUGGGCUACAUAUAUAAAUAUAUCAAUUAUAUUUAGCUAUUUAUUUUAUUGGGUUAAAUUAAGUGAUCAAAUAAGAAACCCAAUUAGAUUUUAAUUAUUGUGUGGGUCAAAUGAGUGGAUACCCAAUACUAAGGCCUAAUUUAAUUAUAAUGGGAGAUUAAAUUGAGCGUUAGAAUACAGAAGGUUAUAGUCCCCAAUAUAUCAAGCAACACAUACAGUCUUUCUUUACCCAUCAGAGAGGACUACUCAAGAAAACCUAAGGAGUGCUUGGUUGAGGAAGACAAUAACGCUGCUUCAAAAGCAAGAUUACUUAAGGUUAUACCACUAUCAUCACUAAUGGAUACAGGUAUGCUUCCGCUUACAGUUUAUAUCUCGAUAGUUGAAUAUGAUGUUUAC
rnacentral:lncRNA from 1 species